rnacentral:lncRNA from 10 species
UUCCCCUUCUUCGGCUAGGCAGAUAUGGGUGUGCAUGGGUAGGGGAGAUUGUCUCAAUAUGUUAAACCAAUGAUGUGUUUUGCAUACAAAUAGAAACUAGUACAAGAGCAUUUCAUUAAGGAAAGUAUCGCUGUUUCUGCAUGACCUAGGGAAAAUUAAUAUUCUAAAUACAAAAUCAUGUGACUUGGGGUUUUGCCUCUUUCCAGCAAUCAAAGCCGUGAAAAGCUGUCUGGAAUAAAGCUUAGGUUUCUUCUUCAUUCCUAUGAGCCAUAUUAUUUCCUUGUUGAAGAAAAGAUACAAUGGAAAAAAUAGUGUGUGCAGUUUUUAGGCAGCUUUAUAUUCUGGAUGUUAUAUUCAUUCAACAGAUAUUUAUUAAACCCUUGAGAUGUGUCAGACACUGUGGUAGGUACAGGAGUGAACAAGAGACAUGGUUCCUGCCCCCAGACAGCUUAUAUUUUUAUGGGGGGAAACAGAUACCAAACAAAUGAUUAUGUCAAUGAAUAUGUAAUUUCAAUUGUGAUAAGGGUUGGGAAGGAAAAGCUCAAGAAAUUGAGACAGUAUAUUGCAUUAGGAUUCAUUCACUCAUUCAGAUGACUUUUCAUUUUCUUGCUUUAUUCAAAGACAAGGAAGGCACCACUGCAGCCUGGUGAGGGAGGCUUGCCCUUGCAGACUGUCUCCUGGGGGCCCCUGAGACACUGGGUAGCAGUUCACCCAAAGGAGUAGGCAGGACGUGGUGCUGAGAGGAGGAGCUGCCAUGUUAUCUGAGAGCUGAAAAGUUUUCCGGGCACAAGACCACAUGGGCAAAGAGCCAUUGAACAAGAUGCCUUUUCUUCUUAUGAAAGCCAAGGGGUACAGAUGUGGAGCCCAGAUUGCUAUAGCCAGCAUGCUGUCUGGUUGCCGACCUCAAGCUGAAGCUCUCACCCCCAGUAAAGUACAGUCUGCAUGGUUUUGUAUGCCCCUUACUCACAUGUGAUCCUAGGUAGGAUACACAGUGGAGAUUAAUCAUUGUAAGUACCUCACAGGAGGUUUGGCAGGGUGCGUGGCUCAUAGUAAGUGCAUAAUAAAUGUUAAUUAUUUUUAUUCAUUUAUUAAAUACUUACUGAGAGUCUGCUAUGUCCAGGCACCAUGCUAAGUACUAAGGAUAGACAGUAAGCAAGAAAGACA